rnacentral:rRNA from 1 species
GAUGAACGCUGGCGGCGUGCCUAAUACAUGCAAGUCGAACGGAGGGUCGCAAGGCCCUUAGUGGCGAACGGGUGAGUAACGCGUUGGUACCUGCCCCAAAGCGGGGGAUAACAGACCGAAAGGUCUGCUAAUACCCCAUGUGCUCCGCGAGGAGUAAAGGCGAAAGUCACUUUGGGAGGGGCCUGCGUCCCAUCAGCUAGUUGGUAGGGUAACGGCUUACCAAGGCGAUGACGGGUAGGGGACCUGAGAGGGUGACCCCCCACAAUGGAACUGAAACACGGUCCAUACACCUACGGGAGGCAG